CUCCGAAGCUGGCCCCUCAACAUCGGGCAGCACUAAGAGUCUUAGAUCCAGGUCAGCACUGCCUAUGUCCAGCUCAGGUCCCGUCCUUCCUGCCCUGUGCAUUAUAUGUAAAAAAAACCCCUCAAAUUCGUCUUAAAGGGAGGCAAACGACAAAGGGAAGCUCUUUCAAAAGCUGAGACCUUAACAGCAGGCAAGUUGCAGACUGCUGCUGAGACUAAAGAUGACCACAGUAUUCUGGUACACAUUAAGGACAAAGACUGUGUGGCUCUGGAGGUGCAGUACCACAAGAGCUGCUACCAGCAGUACACCAGAUUUCUGAAUGAGCCUGCUAGACAAGAGAAGGACAAGUCAUUGCCUGGAUGCUGACCCCUGCCUUUUUGCACCGUGCCACAGGACUUUAUAUAUAUAUAUAUAUAUAUAUAU